rnacentral:rRNA from 1 species
UACGAAGGGGGCUAGCGUUGUUCGGAAUCACUGGGCGUAAAGCGCACGUAGGCGGAUUUUUAAGUCAGGGGUGGAAUCCCGAGGCUCAACCUCGGAACUGCCUUUGAUACUGGGGAUCUGGAGUCCGGGAGAGGUGAGCGGAACUGCGAGUGUAGAGGUGAAAUUCGUAGAUAUUCGCAAGAACACCAGUGGCGAAGGCGGCUCACUGGCCCGGAACUGACGCUGAGGCACGAAAGCGUGGGGAGCAAACAGG